GCCGCUGCAGAGUUUGAUCCUGGCUCAGAUUGAACGCUGGCGGCAGGCUUAACACAUGCAAGUCGAGCGGGGGAAGGUAGCUUGCUACCGGACCUAGCGGCGGACGGGUGAGUAAUGCUUAGGAAUCUGCCUAUUAGUGGGGGACAACAUCUCGAAAGGGAUGCUAAUACCGCAUACGUCCUACGGGAGAAAGCAGGGGAUCUUCGGACCUUGCGCUAAUAGAUGAGCCUAAGUCGGAUUAGCUAGUUGGUGGGGUAAAGGCCUACCAAGGCGACGAUCUGUAGCGGGUCUGAGAGGAUGAUCCGCCACACUGGGACUGAGACACGGCCCAGACUCCUACGGGAGGCAGCAGUGGGGAAUAUUGGACAAUGGGGGGAACCCUGAUCCAGCCAUGCCGCGUGUGUGAAGAAGGCCUUAUGGUUGUAAAGCACUUUAAGCGAGGAGGAGGCUACUCUAGUUAAUACCUAGGGAUAGUGGACGUUACUCGCAGAAUAAGC
rnacentral:rRNA from 1 species